GGGGGACACGAGCGGGGCCCACCUGUCAACGAGACGUCACCAACCAACCAACCCCACCACUAAACCCAAAAGCCCAGCCAUCCUAGUCUCGUCUCGUCUCAACCCCCACCCAAACCCACCAAACAAUGGCGGCGGCGGCGGCGGCGGCGGCGGCGACCUCCUCCUUCCCCUCCGCGCGCAGGGAAAGGACCAGGACGAGGUCCUGGGCCUGUUCCGGCCGCCCUUGGCUCGUCUCCCUCCGCUCGGGAGCCCUGCUGAGGGUCCGCGCCGCCGCCGAACCCGCCCCGGCCUUCCAGUCCGUGACGGCCUUCGCGCCCGCCACCGUGGCCAACCUCGGCCCGGGCUUCGACUUCCUCGGAUGCGCCGUGGCCGACGCCUCCCUCUCCCUCGGCGACACCGUGACCGCCACCCUGGACCCCACCCUGCGCCCCGGCGCCGUCUCCAUCGCCUCCGUCACCUCCCCGUCCCGCCCCCACCUCGCCGGCCGCCUCUCCAAGGACCCGCUCCGCAACUGCGCGGGCGUGGCCGCCAUCGCCGCGCUCCGCUCCCUCGGCGUCCGGUCCCACGCCAUCUCCAUCCAGCUCACCAAGGGCCUGCCGCUGGGCUCUGGCCUAGGCUCCUCCGCGGCCUCCGCCGCCGCCGCGGCCAAGGCCGUGGACGCCCUGUUCGGCUCGCGCCUCGGCCGCGACGACCUCGUCCUGGCGGGCCUCGAGUCCGAGAAGGCCGUGAGCGGCUUCCACGCGGACAACAUCGCGCCGGCCAUCCUGGGCGGCUUCGUCCUGGUGCGCAGCUACGAGCCCUUCCACCUGGUCCCGCUGGCCUCCCCGGCCGGCCUCCGCCUCCACUUCGUCCUGGUGACCCCCGAGUUCGAGGCGCCGACGAGCAAGAUGCGCGCCGCGCUGCCAAAGGAGGUGGGCGUCCAGCAGCACGUGCGGAACUCGAGCCAGGCGGCGGCGCUGGUGGCGGGCGUGCUGCAGGGGGACGCGGGGCUGAUCGGCUCCGCCAUGUCGUCGGACGGCAUCGUGGAGCCGGCGAGGGCGCCCCUGAUACCUGGCAUGGCGGCCGUGAAGGCGGCGGCGCUGCAGGCCGGUGCGCUGGGGUGCACCAUCAGCGGGGCGGGGCCCACGGCGGUGGCGGUGAUCGAGGGCGAGGAGAAGGGGGAGGAGGUUGGCGGCAGGAUGGUGGAGGCCUUCUGGAGCGCUGGAAAGCUCAAGGCAAGAGCAACCGUGGCUCAGCUCGAUAGGCUUGGUGCCAGGGUCAUCGCCACAUCUGCUGCUUAAGGAUCUCGGCUAGCCGCUAGCAAAUGGUCAGUUCUGUUUCGGCUACCAGGCUUGAGUGGUCCUGGUUGGAGGCAGGCCGCGGCGGCGGAGGAACCAACCAUUGAUUUGCUUGGCUUGGUUGCAACAAGAGCUAGAUUUCGUGCUGCAAUUAGGAGGAGAGGUGCUGGAUGGAACACUCAUCAUAUUGGCUUGUAAUUUGUUCUGUUCUGUUCUGUUUGGGCUGAUGAAAUGAAUGAAUAAAAGGAAGAAGGCAGAGGCCUCUGCUGAACUGAA